AGACAGUUAUAAAUAUAGCAAAGGGCGUAGAGUAUUCUUUAUGCUAAAAUUAUUAAGUGUUAGUUCUAUUUUCCCAUCUAUGUUCUUCUUCUAAUACUUCUCAUCCCGUUCUGGUUAUCCCUCCUUUAUCCCUUUAAUUUCCAGCUGAUUGUUGUUCUUCUUUUCGUCAAUAUUUUUUAUUUUGUGUAAUUCAGUUUAGUGAUUAUAUAAUAUAUAUAAGUCUGUGUUUGUGUUGAGAAUUUGGUUUGUUUUAUUGGUGCUUUCAUCCAGAGGUCUCUAAUGGAGGACCAAAAGUUACUCAAGGCUUUCGUUGAUGACUCGAUUCGUGAUUCACUACAAGAAAUGAAGGAUUUUCCUUCUAAGGAUUUUGUUGAUAUUCGUUCGAUGUUAAUGAAGUUAGUGGGGAAAAAGGCUACGACGUCCAUUCCACUCCGAGAUCUAAUGGAAUUAAGGAGGUUUCGCGGUGGAAAUCCAGAGUCUUGGAUUUUACAGGCAGAGAGGUAUUUUGAGUUUUACUCCAUCGUCGACGACCUUAAGCUUUCGUUAGCAUCAUCUUACUUGGAUGGCGAAGCUUUAGCAUGGUUCCAGUGUCUUUAUCGGAACAAAUAAUUUAUCGACUGGAAGCAUUUUACGGAGAAAUUGAAGCUGCAUUAUCACAGAUGGAUCCCCCCUGCUUCGAUAGGGUGUUCGACCGAUCUCCGAUUUUAUUCUAAUCAUUUUGAAGGUUUAGAACUACUAAGGACCCAGGGAAGUCCUCUUACUACUAUGACUCGUGUUUCCAUCUUUUUUUGAGUUUGAAUCCACAUUUAAACAUGAAAACUCAGAGGGCAAACAUAUGUUCGAUGAAAUGUCUACUAGAGUCUUUUUCAAAGCAGUAGAGGAAAGUUAUCCUGUUACAACAGUGAUCCAAAGCAUAGUUGCAACAAUCGGUGUCUCUCACUUCGCAACUGAUAAUCACUCACCUAAGGUGUUCGACGAAAUGUUACAUAGUGGAUGCGCCAAAGUAUUCGUUGAGGUGCAAUCAUAUGCUCCAAUCAACAUGCUCGAUGAAGAAGCUAUGGGUCCUGAAAGCAGCAAAGUCCAAUUGUUUGAUGAAAGUCCUCAAAAAGAUAGGCCAGAUAGGUGAAUUGAAGAUGAAAUUAGAGAAAAAGGAAGAUUUAAAGAAUAAAGUGUGCUCGAAAACUAUGGAAAGAAGAAAGAAUGCAUUAAGCAGUAAAAAGAUGAAGAAGCUCGCGAGGCGACCCUUUGAUCUCACGUGGAAGCUGGUGACGCGAGCCUCUGAGCUCGUGUAGUAUCAGGUGUCGCAAAGGGUGAGGCGAGCUCGAGCUCGCGUGGGAGCUGGCGCCGUACAGUGUUAGGCGAGGUUCAUCUCGCAUGGAGCCUCGCGAGGCAUGGUCUGAGGCGCGCUUACUCCGGAUUUUGAAGGCUUAUUUCGUCUCCUGGUUUGACUAGGACUUGACUUAUGUUGUUUAGGUCUUUUCCUACACAUAUAAAUAGACAUAAAACACCACUUUUGAAGUAGUUUUUGCGACCAGAGGCAAGAAUAACUCGUGGAACACCAGUUGGGAGAUAAAAUCAUCGAUUUCUACAUUCCUCCAUCUUUACUUUGUAAUUUAUUUAUGAAAAAUACUUGGGAUAUUGUUACUAUGAGUAUGAGCAGCUAAACUCCUAAU